rnacentral:lncRNA from 1 species
AAUUCACUCAACUCCUCCUGUUCUUCGAAUUCUCCCUGAAAUUUCACGUUAUUUCGUCUCCUUCUCCUGCCCUCUCUCUCUCUCACGAUCUCCCUCCUUAUUCUCUUUCUCUUUUUCCUUUUUCUCUUUUCUUCUUUUUUUUUCUCCUUGUCCCAGACUCCCCCUUUUAUACCCAACCUAGCUCAAAUCCUACCCAUUAAAAAUCAAAUCUCUAAUCUCUACUAUUUAUUUUACUCUUUAUAACUCUCUCUUGCUCUCUCUCCCUUAUUCACCUAU